rnacentral:lncRNA from 1 species
UUUUUUUCUUUUUUACCCAAAACUCUGUCUCUGCAUUUCAAUUUGGUACUGGCAGACAGAGGCCGAAUUCCGGCAACAGUAUUUCUGUUCUUCUUUUUGAAUUUUUUUCUAGAGCAUCAGAGUUAAGGUUUCACACUUUGAGAUACAGAACUUUUCUUAAGAGUUGAAAGGAAACAAAUUAUAAAAUUGUUGACUCCCAUUAAGAUUUUUCAUAGACAAUUUUAGUUGAUUUUUAGAAAAUCUCACAGCUUUUCCUGAUUUUUCUUUUACUCUGAGCUUAAAUGAAUUCUCAUUUUGACUCCAUAUGUUACUUUGAGAAAUACUGCAGAAUGCCUGCAGUGAUAGGAUCUUUUUUUACAUGUCUUAUUACAUGUUGCUGUAGGUCUCCACUGAGAAGACCUAUUUUAAUUCUCAUUUUCAGACUCUCUCCUGAGAAGGAGAGCUGGCGUCUUCUUUCAAGGUCACAGGAUUUGAUGGAUGAGGAGUACAAGCAAAGAUCCCAGUUUCAUUCCAAAUUGAAAGAACAACAGAAAAGAGAUUAACCUGUUCCCAAUUAAGCAGAAAUGAGGCCAAGGGCAGGUGACCUUUUAACAGCUAAACACUAUAUUUUUAAAACUGAAUUACUGUUGUUUUCUUUGUUUUUCAGGCUCUUUGUGACUGAAUAUUAAAAGCAGCUUAUAUUUUAUAUAACUCUCUUCAGUUUUCAACCCUCCGACACUUAGAGUAGUUUAUUUUUUUACCGAGCACCAUAUUAUGAGAGUUACAGUGUCAUAGUUAGCUUUAAAUGACCUCUGUUUUAUAAAACUUGGAGAAUUUAUCUGUCUUAGAUCAAGGAUUGGGGUUCCCUGGUGCCAUCCAAGGAUUUGUGCCUGAGUUGGUUCUUUUGGAGCUGUAGCUGCGUCCACAGCUUCAGUCACAGCAACGCAGCAUCCAAGCUGCCUCUGCAUCCUAUACCACAGCUCAUGGCAAGGCCAGCUCCAUGAUCCACUGAGUGAGGCCAGGGAUCAAACCCACACCCUCAUGGAUACUAGUUGAAUUUGUUUCCGCUGAGCCACAAUGGAAACUCCAAUAGUUGGGGUUAUUAAUUCAAUUGACAAUUACUGCCAGCCAAAUGUGUAAAGCAUUACUCUUAUCCCAUCAAUAAAGAUGGCAAGACUAUUAAAGAAGUAUGAUUUAUGGCUUAGAAGUAAAGAGAAUGUAUAGGAAAUACCAAUAUGUGCCUUUAUCUGUGAGUUUGUUUUCAUAGAAGUCUUUUUGUAUAUGGUGAAUCAUCACUUUGCUGGUUAAUUUUCUUUGCUGACAGGCUUCAGUCACUUUAUUUUCUCAUAUUUUGUUUUCUGAUCCCUGCAAGUCAUAAUAUUUAUACUCUAUAUUUUUUCCAAUGUAGUUCUCAGUUCUUUGAUAAGUAUACAUGUACAUAUUAAAAUAUGGCAAAUAUGUCUUAAGAAAUGUUUUAUAAAUAAAGUCCUCUUCUCUAGAGUCCUAAAUAAGCAUACAGUAAAUAAAGUCAAAGAUAUACUUCAAAAAAUAAACAACUCAGCCAAAAAAUGGGCAGAUAUCUAAACAGACAUUGCUCCAAAGAAGACAUAAAGAUGGCCAAUAGGCACAUGAAACAAUGCCCAAUAUCACUAAAUAAUAGAGAAAUGCAAGUCAAGCCUACAAUGAGGUAUCACCUCAACUAGUCAGAAUAGCCGACACUAAAACAUCCACAAAUGAUAAAUGCUGGAGAGGAUGUGGAGAAAAAGGAUUUCUCAUACACUGUUGGUGGGAAUGUAAAUCGGUGGAGCCACUAUGGAGAACAGUAUACAGAGUCCUUAAAAAACUAAGAAUAUACCACAUCUUCCGAAUCCAAUCAUCUGGUAUAGGGGGAAAAAACUGUAACUGCAAUGUAUACAUCUAAGGAUGACCUGACCCCCUUGCUGUACAGUGGGAAAAUAAAAAAAAAAAACAAAAAAAAAACUAAGAAUAUAAUUAUCAUAUAAUCCUACAAGCCCACUCCUGGGAAUCUAUCCAGAGAAAACCAUAAUUUGAAAAGAUACAUGCACCCCAAUGUUCAUAGCAGAACCAUUUACAAUAGCCAAGACAGGGAAGCAACCUAAAUGUCCAUCGACAGAUGAAUGGAUAAAAAAAAUAUGGUAUUAAUACACAAUGGAAUAUUACUCAGCCAUAAAAAGAAUGAAAUAAUGCCAUUUGCAGGAACAUGAAUAGACUUAGAGAUGAUCAUAUUUUUUUUUUUUGUCUUUUUGUCUUUUUAGGGUCACAUCCUUGGCAUAUGGAGGUUCCCAGGCUAGGGGUCUAAUCAGAGCUACAGCUUACACCACAGCCACAGCAAUGCCAGAUCUGAGCCACAUCUGUGACCUAUACCACAGCUCACAGCAAUGCCGGAUCCUUAAGCCACUGAGCAGGGCCAGGGAUCAAACCCACGACUUCAUAAUUCCUAGUCGGAUUCAGUUUCUGCUGUGCCAUGACGUGAACUCCCUGAGAUGAUCAUAUUAAAUAAAGUAAUUAGAUAUAGAUAAAUAUAUGACCUCAUUCACAUGUGGAAUCCUAACAAUUUAUAUAAACGAACCUAUUUACAAAACAGAAAUAGACUCACAGACAUAGAAAACAAACUUAUGAUUACUAAAAGGGAUAGCUGUGGUGGAGGGUGAGAUAAUUUAGGAGUUUGGAAUUAAUAUAUAUCCACUACUUAUGUAAAAUAAACAGCAAGAACCUUCUGUAUAGCACAGGACACUAUAUUCAAUACCAUGUAAUAGCCUAUAAUAGAAAAGAAUCUGAAAAAAAAUCUAUGUAUUUUCUGUUAUCACAUGUGCUCUCUCACCCCCUCUUUUCUUUCUCUUCCCUUCCACUUUUCUCUCAAUUUCGCAUACAUUCCAAACUUUGCAAGUCAUUUUUUAGAAGUCAGAAUGUAUCUUCUCAGGGAUCUAAGACUAUAAAUGACAUCUCUUCCAAGGUGAGCAUUUCGAAAACCUUUAAAAUUUAUACUGUGGCUGAAAUAUUAUGUCUUUUUGAUAGAAUUUACUAUUGCUAUAAAAUUAGCACCUAAAAAAACAAAAAAGAAAAUCUCAAAAAAUCUCUACCUCAGAUGAUUGAGAGUAAUAAGGGAUAAAGAAGGAAUAAAAAUAUUAGGAAACCAAAGGAGAUUUAUGAGAACUUUCUAAGUGAUUAAAAGUUGGCUAUCUAUAUAUCAUUUUCUGUGGGGAGCUGAGGAGAUGCAGGGACUCAAAAAAAAAAAAAAAAAAGGACCUUGCCUGAUGGCAAAGAAAACCUGAAGGCAGGUUCCUAACCAAGGAAGGGAGCUCACCUGAAUGGUACAUGCCAAAGGUGGGCCUCUGGACAGGAUAAAAGCUUACCUGAAUGGUGCAUGCCGAAGGUGGGCCUCUGGACAGGAUAAAAGCCUGCCUGAAGGGUACAAGCCGAGGGCAGGCCUCAGGUUACAUAGCUCUCAUUUUGAUGUUUAUGGGGAAGAAUUGGGGCUUUCCUGGGAAAACAAUUUCCAUGUUUGUGCCAGAGAACAUGGAUUGUUUCUCGGGUGACCUAGUCUUUCCUGUUGUUUUAUUUGUUAUUCAGGUUUCCUCAGUCUUUCCUGAUUAUUUGCUUAUUAUUCUUAUUUCCCAUUCUUAUUUUCCUGUGGUGAUUUGUGAUUUAACAAAAUUACAAUAAUAAUAUAAUGAGAAUUUCAUUCUAAAGGACUUUCCCCUAUUUAAAUCCAACUUAAUUAAAAACAUAGUGUUUAUCUACUAACCUAGUUAUACAGUAAACUUUAGAGUUAGGAUUUUAAUGAGGUUCAUAGAAGUUGGACACAUAUUAUUCAGGAUCAAAAGAAAUUUGGCUGUGAGUUUUGUCCUUGAGUUUAGAAACUUUUAACAGUAGCUAGCUAAAUUGAUUUGUAUUUUCUCAUACUGUCUCCCUGCCAAGGACACUUUGAAGAUAGACACUAGUCUGAAGACAGGAUUUUUUGUGUUUGUAACUUCUUCAGCUUGUGGGAACUGACUGGCCAUGAGAUGGUUUGUGCUGGGUCUCCUCUUUCCCACAUGAUAUGCUGCACCUGUUUGUCCUUGAAUUGUACUCACUAAAUUUACUUAAGUUAAAGAUUUUAAAACAUGAUGUAUUGCUACUGUACCAUGUGAUCAAAAAACAAAGCCUAAUAGUUAACCAAUGUACUUUUAACACUGUGAUGUAAUCUGUAGUGAAAAACUGUCUAUAUAAUCAACCACUUAUGCCAAUAAAGUUUGAGCAGUCCAGCACCCUGAAAGAAGGGACAAAGAGGCUAUCUCCGUGUCUUUUGCCGAUGCUGUCCAUCUCCUAUCGGGAAAGUGUACACUCCCUGGCCACUGAGCUGGCCUCCAGCAAUUUUCCUCUUAAUUUCAAACAUUUUGUUUUAAUUUUUAAUGCUUCUUUUCCUAUUAGUUUAUAAAACUCUAGCUGUCAGGUAGCAGAUCAAAUUUAUCUUGACUUUUCCCACAGCUUCUGGUAAAAACUAGUGAAAACAGGUCUUCCUUCUGUAAGUACAUUGGCCAUUUAAGUAGUUCAAUAUUCCAAAUAAAAUUUCAAGGUAUUUUUAAGAGUUUUGAUAAUGAUAGUGUUCUUUUUAUUAUUCUAUUUCAAAAAUUAUAGUUUAAAUAUAUAUUUUACAAAAGCCAUAAUUUAGGAAACAUUUUUCUUAUAAUUUGAACAGAGGCCAAAAUAGGUCCUGAGGAAAGAGAAAUUUCCUAAAAAUAAGUCAGAAGAAGAUAAAACAGAACAGUUAAGAAGAUGGUAGUCUAAUAUUAAAUUAACAGCUUUGAAUCUAAAUUUAGGGGAAAAGCAAAAUGUGCAUGAGAAAGAAGCAGAAAGAUGGAAAAGCAUAAUCUGCGUCUCCUCAACUGACUGAGAAUUUGGAAGGAAAUGAAACUUUCCAUAUACAUGUAUGUAUCUAUACAUACACACACACACGCAUGCACACACACAUGCUUUGCAAAGAAUUAUAAUUAAGCUACACUACAGAGAAAAUUCUGUAUGUGACCAAUAAUUUUGUAGGGUCAUCUUGUACUUUCAGAACUAUUCUGAGUCAGGUUGAUUUUGAUGGAUCAAGGAAUUGGAAGUGUUUUUAUGAUCUUUUAGAAGCUUUAGGCAUUGUCUCUGUAUAACACAAGCUUACAUCUUGUAUAAAUGCUUAGUAUAAAGAAUUCAACUAGGAGUUCCCGUCAUGGCUCAGCGGUUAACAAAUCCAACUAGGAACCAUGAAGUUGCGGGUUCAAUCCCUGGACUAAGGAUCCAGGGUUGCCUAGAGCUAUGGUGCAGGUCACAGAUGAGGCU